GGCUGGUUCAGUAGUGGGUUAUCAGAACUCAAUAACAAUGUCACUAAAGUUGGUAUACAGCCAACUUUGGUAUACAGCCCCUCAUUGCUAAAUUUGACUGGCUUAAA
rnacentral:sRNA from 1 species